CAAGAGAGAGGCACAUUUUUUUCAUUAGCAGAAAAAACACAGCCAUGAGGAAACAUCCAAAGCAAAGACCAGAGAUGCAUACAAGGACAAUUUCCAUAUGCUCUAUAAAAACUUCGGCAUCAUGAAGUAGAAUAUAUCCCAAGAUGGCUGAUCUAGAAUGUCAAUUGUCUUCAUCUCUCUUGCAGUUAAUUCAGCGAUCGCCAUAAUCUUUUUUUCUUCUCCAUGUUUUUUUCAUCAUAGACUCUUGAUCACAUCUAGAAGUCGAAGACGCUAGAAAUCACAGGCAUCACCUGUCCGGAUCAUAUCUUGAAGAUAAGGCCUCCUCCCCCACUGCUUUC
rnacentral:lncRNA from 1 species